AGUUUGUUGAUGAAAAGGAUUUUAAUGAGAAUAAAGCAGAGUUUAAUACUUGAAGUCAGGGCGGAGGCUGGAGGUGAAUGUAACAUUAGAGUAGGGAUGUGAAUGUCUGUGUGUGUGUGUGUGUGUGUGUGUGUGUGUGUGUGUGUGUGUGUGUGCUGUUUUGUACACGUUUAAGGGGAGCAGGAAACAGAAAUGUCAGAAUCUGCUGAACAUCCUUCUAAUCAUGUGAAGAAGUAUUUCUUUUAUUUAUUUUGACCUCUGUAUUACAGGUGAGACCUUUGAGUGUGUGUGUGUGUGUGUGUGUGUGUGUAACUACUUCAAAUUCAGUGUGACUCUGUGUGAGUGUGUGAUCUGGUACAUUUUAUACAAAGUGUUAAGCUUUAAAGCUUUUUAAAUAUUGCUCAACAUGGAAGGAAACCAUCUUGUCCCUCCUCGUGUGUCUGUCUGCACCUGACCUGCAGACACACCCACCUGGGUUGGAGGCUGUGAAGCCUCCCUGCAGGUGGCCGAGCGGCACGUGAGGCAGGUGAGGUAUUUAUGAAAAACAUCCUAAAUGGAGGGAGAGGAAGACUGAGUGGCUGGAAGAAGUAAUGUUGCAGCUGCUGAAGGUGGAGCUCAUUGCAAUCACUUUAUAUACAGCUGGGUAGCUCGUGAUUGAUCCCCCCCCCCACCAGGGAUCAAUAAACUUUUAUAUUCGUCUAUAAUAUUACAUCAAAAUUGAUUUAUGGAUUACAUUUUGUGUUAUUAACAUGAACAUGCAAAGUAACUAAAGUUAUCAAACAGAUGUAGUGGAGUAAAAAGCACAAUAUUUCCCUCUGCACUCAGACACUUCCCACCAGCAGGUGACCCCGAGAAGAAGUGACUGCGGAGGGGCUCAUCGUGCAUCAUCUGCCGGGCAGAGUGAGGCCUCGCGUCCGGCAUAGAUCAGCUUUGGUGUGGGGAUUCACUGUGCAACUCAGCGGCGGAAGAAGAUCUUUGCAGUGGAGAAGCGCUCAAGUUAAAGUCCUGCACUCAAACGCUGACUGAGGAACUUUACAGAACAGAAAUAUCAGCAUCCAAAUGUACUUAAAGUACCAAAAGUAAAAGUACUCAUUACACAGAAUGACCCAUUUCAGCAUGAUAUGCUAUUGGCACAUUAACGUGUAAGCAGCUGGUAAAGGAGCCGAGGUGAAGCAGGGCAUUGUGGGAUACGUGCUACGGACACCGUUGUGUUGCAUUGUGGGAUUUCUGAGGGCAGCAAAUAGUCGGUGGAUUCCUAAAACAGCUGGGCACUGGUUUUACUCACUAGUGUUCCACAUGUGGAUUCAUCCGCCGCUGAAAAUAGUCCCCAACAGGUGCGUUUGCUAUAAAUCUGUCUUUGAAUGGCCUCUCAGCUCAAAGCUGAUGUUGUGUGAAGAGAAAUUUGACAGAAACAAUAAUGUCUUUAGUUCUUAGAUGGUCUUUAGUUUAUUCUGAUUAAACACAUAUAAGAAUCAAUUAUUUAAACAUAUAUAUAUAUAUAUAUAUAUGUUUAGCUUUAGUUGUUACAACAUUCAUAAUAACCUGAACGUCACAUCUAAGCAUCUGUAAAACAAUAAGUGCAAUUUACAGUUAAAACUUUACUAAAAAAAAACAACAAAAAACAGCUUCUGUCUGCAAAAAUAUACAAAUCAUCUGUUCAAUCAAACUUCAGGUAGAAACUGAACACAGUUCCAGCAAAAGAAAAGACAGAUCUAACUGGAGGCACCUCAGCUCAGCACGCCACUGCACCGGCAGGAAACACACACACACACACGUUAACA